GUACACGCUGUGACUAGCAUAUCAAUAAGCGGAGGAAAAGAAACUAACAAGGAUUCCCCUAGUAACGGCGAGUGAAGCGGGAAGAGCUCAAAUUUGAAAUCUUAAAGGGUUUCCCUUUACGAAUUGUAGUUUAAAGAAGUGUUUUCUGUUGAGGCUUUGGUAAAAGUUCUUUGGAAUAGGACAUCAUAGAGGGUGAGAAUCCCGUAUUUGACCUUUACUUUCAACUUUGUGAUACACUUUCAAAGAGUCGGAUUGUUUGGGAAUGCAGUCCAAAAUGGGUGGUAAAUUUCAUCUAAAGCUAAAUAUUGGCGAGAGACCGAUAGCGAACAAGUACCGUGAGGGAAAGAUGAAAAGAACUUUGAAAAGAGAGUUAAACAGUACGUGAAAUUGUCAAAAGGGAAGCGUUUGACACCAGUGUUGUUUUUCUGAAAAUCAAUUAAAGAACUGUUUAUGCUAAGUUGUUUAGACUUUAUCAGCUAUCUGUUUAGUUUUGAGCUUUUCUUUAAUGCACUUUUCAGUUAACAAGUCAACAUCAAUUUCUUUUGCUGUAAAAAAGCUUGAGGAAGGUGGCUUGAGAUUCGUCUUAAGUGUUUAUAGCCUCUUGCCUAUGCAGUCGGAGAGAUUGAGGUCUGCAGCGUAGAUCCUUCGGGGCUAAAUGCAUUUGUGCUAAGUUAUAACAUUUUAUAGACAACUUGUUGACUAUGAUUUGUCUUGUAGCUUACCUCGCUUAUGUUAUUUUACCUACGCUUAGGAUGUUGACGAGACUGUCGAUCUCAUCUAUACAUGACUCUGUGCAUAUCAAUAAGCGGAGGAAAAGUACCUACGCUUAGGAUGUUGACGAGACUGUCGAUCUC
rnacentral:rRNA from 1 species